rnacentral:rRNA from 1 species
CCCUUAGAUGUUCUGGGCCGCACGCGCGCUACACUGAUGCAUUCAACGAGUCUAAAACCUGGUCUGAUAGGGCUGGGUAAUCUUUUGAAAGUGCAUCGUGAUUGGGAUAGAUGAUUGCAAUUCUCCAUCUUCAACGAGGAAUGCCUAGUAAACGCAAGUCAUCAGCUUGCAUUGAUUACGUCCCUGCCCUUUGUACACACCGCCCGUCGCUCCUACCGAUUGAAUGAUCCGAUGAAUACCAUGGAUUGAGAGUACGAAUGGGUUCGCUCAUUUCUGCUGCUCGAGAAGUGGAGUAAAUCUUAUCAUUUAGAGGAAGGAGAAGUCGUAACA